rnacentral:rRNA from 1 species
ACAGCAGCCGCCACGGGAAUACAGAGGGUGCGAGCGUUAAUCGGAUUUACUGGGCGUAAAGCGUGCGUAGGCGGCUAAUUGAGUCGGAUGUGAAAUCCCCGAGCUUAACUUGGGAAUUGCAUUCGAUACUGGUUAGCUAGAGUGUGGGAGAGGAUGGUAGAAUUCCAGGUGUAGCGGUGAAAUGCGUAGAGAUCUGGAGGAAUACCGAUGGCGAAGGCAGCCAUCUGGCCUAACACUGACGCUGAGGUACGAAAGCAUGGGGAGCAAACAGGAUUAGAUACCCCUGUAGUCCCUGUCUCUUAUAC